CAGUCGCCGCGGGAAUACAGAGGGCGCGAGCGUUAAUCGGAUUUACUGGGCGUAAAGGGCGCGUAGGCGGUUUAGUGAGUGUGAUGUGAAAGCCCCGGGCUUAACCUGGGAAGUGCAUCGCAAACGACUAAACUGGAGUAUAAGAGAGGGUGGCGGAAUUUCCGGUGUAGCGGUGAAAUGCGUAGAGAUCGGAAGGAACGUCAAUGGCGAAGGCAGCCACCUGGCUUAAUACUGACGCUGAGGCGCGAAAGCGUGGGGAUCAAACAGGAUUAGAUACCCCUGUAGUCCCUGUCUCUUAUAC
rnacentral:rRNA from 1 species